rnacentral:rRNA from 1 species
UACGGAGGAAGCUAGCGUUGUUCGGAAUUACUGGGCGUAAAGCGCACGUAGGCGGCUUUGUAAGUUAGAGGUGAAAGCCCGGGGCUCAACCCCGGAAUUGCCUUUAAGACUGCAUCGCUUGAAUCCAGGAGAGGUGAGUGGAAUUCCGAGUGUAGAGGUGAAAUUCGUAGAUAUUCGGAAGAACACCAGUGGCGAAGGCGGCUCACUGGACUGGUAUUGACGCUGAGGUGCGAAAGCGUGGGGAGCAAACAGG